rnacentral:lncRNA from 1 species
GUUUGGGGCAGUAAACGCUUAGAAGAUUUUUUAAAGCCCAGCAUAACUAUAACUUCCCACAUACUUCCUUUUAGGUCCAGGACAUGGGACAGGAGAUCUAUAGCACACAGAGAAGGCAAUGACUUUACAGAGAGGUGAAGGCUGCAGAGUCAGUGAGUGCCUCUGGGGAAGGUGGUCAGUCAGCCAGUGAACUCUGAAGACAUGCUGUCUUGGGGAGUGCUGUAGCAGUAAGCCCACACCC